rnacentral:rRNA from 1 species
AGGACGAACGCUGGCGGCGUGCCUAACACAUGCAAGUCGAACGGGGGUAGCAAUACCCCAGUGGCGAACGGGUGCGUAACACGUGAAGAACUUGUCCAUCGGCGGGGGAUAGCCGGCCCAACGGCCGGGUAAUACCGCGUACGCUUGCUGGGUGGCAUCACCUGGCAAGGAAAGCAGCAAUGCACCGAUGGAGAGCUUCGCGGCCUAUCAGCUAGUUGGCGGGGUAAUGGCCCACCAAGGCGACGACGGGUAGCUGGUCUGAGAGGAUGACCAGCCACAUUGGGACUGAGACACGGCCCAGACUCCUACGGGAGGCAGCAGUGGGGAAUAUUGCGCAAUGGGGGAAACCCUGACGCAGCGACGCCGCGUGUGGGAUGACGGCCUUCAGGUUGUAAACCACUGUCGCGAGGGACGAAAAAAUAGACGGUACCUACGAAAGGAAGCACCGGCUAACUCUGCGCCAGCAGCCGC